rnacentral:misc_RNA from 1 species
GAUGAAGAACGUAGCGAAAUGCGAUAAGUAAUGCGAAUUGCAGAAUUUCCGUGAGUCAUCGAAUCUUUGAACGCACAUUGCGCCCACUGGUAUUCCGGUGGGCAUGCCUGUUCGAGCGUCAUUAUCCUCCCUCAAACCCCGGGUUUGGUGUUGGACCCAAGUUGUGUGAACAACUGGUCUCAAAGACAAUGACGGCGUCCGUGGGACCCUCGGUGCAACGAGCUUUUAGGAGCACGCAUCGAGUUGCAAGGACCUUCCGGGCCGGUCUCCUUUACCAUUUUACAAGGUUGACCUCGGAUCAGGUAGGAAUACCCGCUGAACUUAAGCAUAACAAUAAGCGGAGGA